GAUUGGUGCUUGCAUCAUGAUUUACAUUUGAGUGAGUGGCGAACUGGUGAGUAACACGUGGGAAACCUGCCCAGAAGCGGGGGAUAACACCUGGAAACAGAUGCUAAUACCGCAUAACAACUUGGACCGCAUGGUCCGAGUUUGAAAGAUGGCUUCGGCUAUCACUUUUGGAUGGUCCCGCGGCGUAUUAGCUAGAUGGUGAGGUAACGGCUCACCAUGGCAAUGAUACGUAGCCGACCUGAGAGGGUAAUCGGCCACAUUGGGACUGAGACACGGCCCAAACUCCUACGGGAGGCAGCAGUAGGGAAUCUUCCACAAUGGACGAAAGUCUGAUGGAGCAACGCCGCGUGAGUGAAGAAGGGUUUCGGCUCGUAAAACUCUGUUGUUAAAGAAGAACAUAUCUGAGAGUAACUGUUCAGGUAUUGACGGUAUUUAACCAGAAAGCCACGGCUAACUACGUGCCAGCAGCCGCGGUAAUACGUAGGUGGCAAGCGUUGUCCGGAUUUAUUGGGCGUAAAGCGAGCGCAGGCGGUUUUUUAAGUCUGAUGUGAAAGCCUUCGGCUCAACCGAAGAAGUGCAUCGGAAACUGGGAAACUUGAGUGCAGAAGAGGACAGUGGAACUCCAUGUGUAGCGGUGAAAUGCGUAGAUAUAUGGAAGAACACCAGUGGCGAAGGCGGCUGUCUGGUCUGUAACUGACGCUGAGGCUCGAAAGUAUGGGUAGCAAACAGGAUUAGAUACCCUGGUAGUCCAUACCGUAAACGAUGAAUGCUAAGUGUUUGGAAGGGUUUCCGCCCCUUCAGUGCUGCAGCUAACGCAUUAAGCAUUCCGCCUGGGGGAGUACGGCCGCAAGGCUGAAACUCAAAGGAAUUGACGGGGGCCCGCACAAGCGGUGGAGCAUGGUGGUUUAAUUCGAAGCUACGCGAAGAACCUUACCAGGUCUUGACAUACUAUGCAAAUCUAAGAAGAUUAGACGUUCCCUUCGGGGACAUGGAUACAGGUGGUGGCAUGGGUUGUCCUCAGCUCCUGUCCUGAAAAUGUUUGGGGUUAAGUCCCCCAACCAAGCGCCACCCCUUAUUUAUCAGUUGCCACCCAUUAAAUUUGGGCCCUCUUGGUGGAGACUGCCCGGUGACAAACCCGAGGAAAAGAGUGGGGGGUGAAGGUCCAAAACAUUAUUGGCCCCUCUAUGGACCUUGGGGGUCACCACACGCCUCCCAAAGGGAAAGGUUCAACACAAAUUUGCUGAACUCCC
rnacentral:rRNA from 1 species